UACGGAGGGGGCUAGCGUUGUUCGGAAUGACUGGGCGUAAAGCGCGCGUAGGCGGAUCGGUAAGUUGGGGGUGAAAGCCCAGGGCUCAACCUUGGAACGGCCUUCGAGACUCCCGGUCUGGAGUUCGAGAGAGGUGGGUGGAAUUCCGGGUGUAGAGGUGAAAUUCGUAGAUAUUCGGAGGAACACCAGUGGCGAAGGCGGCCCACUGGCUCUAUACUGACGCUGAGGCGCGAAAGCGUGGGGAGCAAACAGG
rnacentral:rRNA from 1 species